rnacentral:rRNA from 1 species
CUAAGGCUCCGGAGGAAGCCACGGCUAACUCUGUGCCAGCAGCCGCGGUAAUACAGAGGCGGCAAGCGUUGUUCGGAAUUAUUGGGCGUAAAGAGCACGUAGGCGGCCUUGCAAGUCAGUUGUGAAAGCCUUUCGCUUAACGGAAGAAUGCCAGCUGAUACUACAGGGCUUGAGUACGGGAGGGGAGAGUGGAACUUCUGGUGGAGCGGUGAAAUGCGUAGAUAUCAGAAGGAACGCCGGCGGCGAAAGCGACUCUCUGGCCCGAAACUGACGCUGAGUGUGCGAAAGCUAGGGGAGCAAACGGGAUUAGAUACCCCGGUAGUCCUAGCCGUAAA